rnacentral:rRNA from 1 species
GUGCCAGCAGCCGCGGUAAUACCGGCAGCACGAGUGAUGGCCGAUAUUAUUGGGCCUAAAGCGUCCGUAGCUGGCCGGACAAGUCCGUUGGGAAAUCCACCCGCUUAACGGGUGGGCGUCCAGCGGAAACUGUCCGGCUUGGGGCCGGAAGACCUGAGGGGUACGUCCGGGGUAGGAGUGAAAUCCUGUAAUCCCGCACGGACCACCGAUGGCGAAAGCACUUCGAGAAAACGGAUCCGACAGUGAGGGACGAAAGCCAGGGUCUCCAACCGGAUUAGAUACCCGGGUAGUCC